UACGUAGGGGGCAAGCGUUGUCCGGAAUCAUUGGGCGUAAAGCGCGCGUAGGCGGCCCGGUCAGUCCGUUGUGAAAGUCAAAGGCUCAACCUUUGAAUGCCGACGGAUACUGCCGGGCUAGAGUCCGGAAGAGGCGAGUGGAAUUCCUGGUGUAGCGGUGGAAUGCGCAGAUAUCAGGAGGAACACCUAUAGCGAAGGCAGCUCGCUGGGACGGUACUGACGCCAAGGCGCGAAAGCGUGGGGAGCGAACAGG
rnacentral:rRNA from 1 species